rnacentral:lncRNA from 1 species
CUGUUUGGUUUGGGGGAUAAGCGAAAGUUAUUCCCACUAUUCUACCAAACGGGGUGAAAUUUGGCCGGAAUACUUUAUCCCGGUCAAACCUUGCUAUUCCCGAUUAUUUCGGAACAGCAAUGGAUUUGCUAUUCCACCAUUUUGGUGGAAUAGUGUUAUUCCAAUGCUUAAUUUCAAACUUAAUUAAAAUAAUAAAUUGAAUUAAAACUAAAGUAUAUAAAUAUUAUAUGUUAUAUAUUAUAAUACAUUAUUUUUAUUAUAAAAUUAUUAAUUGUACUAUAUUAAUACAUAUUAUUUAUAUUUAAAUAUUAUAAUAAAUUAUAUUUAAAUAUUAUAAUAAAUUUUUUUUAUUAAAUUUAAGUUUAAGUAGAAUUUAAAAAAAAUUUAUAAAUUUAUUAUAAUAAAUUAUUUUUAUUAAUUGUUCCCACCACUAUUCUUAUUUUAAAAUUUUAAAAAUUAAAAAUUUAAAUUUUUAAAAUUUAUAAUUUAUAAUCUCAAAAUUAAAGUUUAUAAUUUUAAAUUUUAAAUUUUAAAUUUUAAAUUUAAAUUUUAAUAUUUUAAAUUUUUGAAAUUU